rnacentral:rRNA from 1 species
GAGAACGUGAAAUCGUUGAAGUGGAACCGGAGAGAGUUGACGUAGUAUGGUGGAUAAGUAUUGCAAGAAUCGCUUCAAACAAUGAAUGUGAUCGAGUAAUAUGUACGUCACCAAAGACUGCGCUGACAGCAUCGACUACACGCUCUGAACUGUGUUGACAUGUUGCCUAUUCUAGUAUAUAGAAUGGUGUCUUGUGUUACGUGGUGAAGUUUGUUGUUAUGUUGUUGAUGUUGAUAAGUAUGAUUAUACACCAAGUAUAAUUAUGUCAGUGUAAAAGUCAACCACCUCUCCGACCCGUCUUGAAACACGGACCGAGGAGUGUAACUUGUACGCGAGUCAUUGGGUGGAAAAACCUUAAGGCGAAACGAAAGUGAAGGCACGGUUAACCGGCUGACAUGGGAAACGUGCGGUAUUGUUAGCGAGACGUUACACCAUGGCCCUGUCUUGUCUGCAUGCAGAUGGGCAGCGGUAGAGCGUACAGGUUGCGACCCGAAAGAUGGUGAACUAUGCCUGAGCAGGACGAAGUCAGAGGAAACUCUGGUGGAAGUCCGUAUCGGUUCUGACGUGCAAAUCGAUCGAUAGACUU